ensembl:lncRNA
CAGCACAGUCCCGCGUGUGCGAGGCGACGCACUGCAUGUUUAUCACCUCGGUUCGUUCGUGAGAGACACACGUGACAUCUGAAGAAUGGCAGCGGCAGGAUCUGAGGCCUGUAACCAUCACGACAGCGGGAGCUCAUCCGCUAAUUCACUAAUUGACGUCACUUGUCAGAGACAACGCCGAAGCUUUUUUGUUCACCCUACCCGGGACGCCAUUAGUUGUAAUUAACAGGCUGACUGAUCAGGUAAAGUUGGCGAAGAGCUUCUAAUUAUCCCGUCUGCAUGAGCCGGCAGUUUAG